AUUGAACGCUGGCGGCAGGCCUAACACAUGCAAGUCGAGCGGAGCGGCGGACGGGUGAGUAAUGCCUAGGAAUCUGCCUGGUAGUGGGGGAUAACGUCCGGAAACGGGCGCUAAUACCGCAUACUAUCAGAUGAGCCUAGGUCGGAUUAGCUUGUUGGUGGGGUAAAGGGCGACCAAGGCGACGAUCCGUAACGGGUCUGAGAGGAUGAUAAGUCACACUGGAAUUGAGACAAGGCCCAGACCCCUACGGGAGGAAGCAGUGGGGAAUAUUGGACAAUGGGCGAAAGCCUGAUCGAGCCAUGCCGCGUGUGUGAAGAAGGUUUUCGGAUUGUAAAGCACUUUAAGUUGGGAGGCGGUACCAACAGAAUAAGCACCGGCUAACUUCGUGCCAGCAGCCGCGGUAAUUC
rnacentral:rRNA from 1 species